AUUGACAAGGAAAGGCCAUGUUAUGUUCACGCUGGGUUAAGUUUUAAGUGUAUCUUAUUUAAUUUUUUUCAAUAUGAGUCAUCUCCAGAUACUGCGACGAUUUCCAAAUAACCCGAAUCUAGAUGACUAGAAAUUCACUCUAGCUGGCUUUAGACAGGAAGCGUGAGGACAGAAUCCAGCUGCUUCCACUCCAGGGUAGGUCUGAAGCCAACCGUCCUCAGUUUCCUGGCCUGUGGCUUCAGUCUGGUUGGAUUACACACAAAGCCCUGCAGAGCUGCUGCUUUUCCUGAUUCUCCUGCCUGAGUGAGUGCAAGGGGCUCCCCUGUUGCCGCCGACACAUUCUUUGAAGCAGAUGCCAUGCCUGAUGCCUGCUGGAGAGUCCCACUGCCUUGAGCCUCUGGGUCCAGAAAGGCGGCGUUGUACACUACUGAGAGACUGCCAUGCACCCCCUGGAGACCUCAGAACAUUCAACAUGCUCCAGUUAUGGCCACGGCAGUGAUUGCUGGUUGCCUAACCCCACAUGUGUUCUCCCCUCUUCCCUGAAAAUCAAGCCCCUGAUUUUCAGCUGGGCACAAAAUAAUUCUUUCUAGAACAACUCCACGUGUGUUAUCGCCCUUGCAGGUGGGGGUAGCCUCCACCGGGGGGAGGCAGGGUGAAGAGGUGGAAGGAGCCUGAGUUAGCAGGGAUGAGCAGUGGCCGGGUAACCCCAGACUCACUAUCCUCUGGAUUUCUUUUAUGUGAAAGAAUAAAAUGUCUUGUAUUUGAGCCUU